UGGAGAGAUACAGGCUGAACAAUAAAAUUCUCUUUUAUCAUACUCAUUCUCACUGUGAGGACCAGCUUCAGCUUUGAUUUAUCUUUUUUCUGUUAAUCUACAAAAGGAAGACGUGUCUUACAACUACUCAGUUGUGGCCUAUCAUGUGAUGAUGAUGAUGAUGAUGAUGAUGAUGAUGGUGUAGCUACUAGCCUACUACUAAUAUGAAAUAUGUCUCACCAGUGAAGAGAGAUACAGAGCUGAGACUAGUGGACAUUAAACUAAAUGAAGGAGUUGAAACAAUUCAAAUGAGUGUCAUUAAAGUGACGGUUGAAUGUAGCAGGUGUAAGUGCAGGACUGACCUCCUCUGCAAAGAAAACAAGGUUGCAUCUCAAGUAUGUUCAAAGUGUAGCCAUUGGAUAUCAGUUCAGUAUAAUCCUGAUCUGCUUCAUUCAUCUAAUCCCACACUAGCUUAUCUUGACCUUUUAAAUUGUAAAGUGACUGAUCUAAUAUUGUUAUGCUAUGAAGGUGUCUCAUAUCUUGUGUCGAGUGUGGGCGUGAUCAUCCAUUAAAGAGGUGGAGCUUUGGCUCUCCUCUCACCACCUGGUGUCGGUAUUGUCACACGUCACUUGUCCUGGGGGCAUCUCAGUGUAAAUUCAUCAUCCACCAACCAGGAGAAGGUGUAUUCAAUGAGGCUAUUGAAGGACAGAGAGUGAGUGCUAAAAAGAAGAGAGUGCCUGAUUUCAUUGACCAUUACCUAACACUGGGACUUGCCUACACUAUAAGAAAAGCCAUCGCUGGCUCAGGUUUCCAUGUUGUGGUAAAGCCUUUCCUUGUGAUGUGUGUCAUGAUUCAACUGAAGGCCAUCCAAUGGAAAGAGCUAACAGAAUGAUAUGUGGAUACUGCUCCAAAGAACAAGUUUAUAAUGGCAGUAAUCCUUGUGUGUCUUGUGGUUCUGAUAUGACACAAAGUAAGAGUUCAUCACAUUGGGAAGGAGGUCAAGGCUGCCGUAACAAAGUGAAGAUGAGCAGGAAUGAUAGACAGAAAUAUGUAAAUUCAGAGAAGAAGACAGUUUCAAUGAAAAAUGAAAGAGUUGGAGUGAAAGGAAAGAACAAUAUA